rnacentral:antisense_RNA from 1 species
UGUAUGCGUGAAGCGUUCGCUGACAAAGCGCCGAGCGCACACAGUCGUCUUUGUUGAAUCGCACUAUCCCUACCAUCUCAUCUUCGUUAAAGCGAGCUAAGGCAUCGCUUAAACCUGACUGAACAUGUGCCGGCAAAUCGCACUGGGUGAUAUCACCAUUUACAAUAACCGUUACGUUUUCUCCCAAUCGCGUC